rnacentral:sRNA from 1 species
UAAUAAACGGGAUAGUAGUGGCAGCCUCAGAUUUUUUCAAUCUGAGCUAUAGCGUAUAGCCCGGCUAACA